AAAAAAAAAAAAAACUUCCUCCCCCCCAACCCCCCUCUCUCUCGAAUUAUCAGUUUUAUCUCUUGAUCUUUUCUAGCUUUAGCUUUGACUUGCCCAUGCAUCCAUUUUAUUUUUGUUUUUUGUUUUUAGUUUCUUUCACUAGAUUAUUGUUCGGUGGUGGUAGUUAAGGGACUCGAGACUCUAGGAAUUAUUGGUAGUACUGCUGCUGCAGCUGCUGCAGCUACUGUUUGUUUCUUGGUGAUCAUCUAUAUUUUCCCAUGAGAUUUGAGGCCUUGAGAAAGGAAUUGAAUUAAGGUUCUUCCGAUGAGAACUUGAGCUCAAUCUUUCUCUUUCACUCUCUCUCCCCCCACUCUUAGUUCCUUUUCUCAAUAUGAAUUUAAGUUUGGUAUUUGAGUUCAUUCCUUGCUCUAAGUGGUAAAGUAAACACCAAAAUGAACAGUUGUUCUCCAUUGGCAACUAUAGAAAUUAAUGGGUUUCUCGGAUCCGUUUCUUCUUAGCUGCUAUAUAUGUGCGUAGUUUGAGUUGCUCUAACAAGGGAAAUAAGGGUAAUAACAGUUUUACAUAUAUAUAUAUAUGUAUAUUAUAUAUUUAUAAUUCCUUAUCUAUAUAUCAUUUAACUGUAAUGUUUGUCACUGUGCAUCCAAUCAUACUUAGAUUUCCUCCUCUAGUCUCUCUCUUAUGAGACUACUCUUUAAAAUACUAUAUGGCCCCAUUUGACUUCUUUUUUCUUUCUUUGUUUCUCCGAAUUCACAUCAAACCAUCAACAACAAGAACUAUUUCUUAGAUCUCUUUUCCCAAAAUUAUUCCAAAACUAUUAUUAUUCAUUUACCUAGUACUAAUAUCUUAAUCCAUUAACUAAUAUAUAUAGUUAUCUCGCACCCCAAGAAUAAGGUUUCUAUAGUGAGGAGGCAAACAAAUUUCCGCUUCGAGAAACAAACCUACUAGUUACUAUUUUUGGCUUGGAGAUCUACAUACAAGUGGCCAUUUUAAAUCUUUUUUUAUGGGUUUUUUUUUUUUUUUUUUUUCUUUUUUUAUCUCCUUGUCAUGGUAAUGAGGUGGAGAAGCGCAUGCUACGUCUUAAGGAGAGUGUGAGAAGAGAAGGAGCACUACUAUUACUACGACGCAUGCACUGGUCCCCGGCCGGAUUAUAGAGGUCUGCGUCGUACGGCUUCAUGGGUUUGGUGGUGGGGUGAGAGUCCCCGCACGUGCGCCCAUGCACCAUUCUCUUCCUCUCUGUCACAAGUCCUUACUCUUCCUCUCCCUGCAACUUCUCUGCCACCCAAAGAACUCUUUCUCUCUCUCUCUCUCUCUCUCUCUCUCUCUCUCUCUCUGGUGUGCCACCACCUGGGCUUUAAUGUUGUCACAAAUUACCCUCCUCCUCUUCUUCUUCUUCUUCUUCUUCUUCUUCUUCUUUUUAUCUCUCUCUCUCUCUCUCUCUCUCUCUCUCUCUCUGUCCCUUUAACUGCUGCAACUUGAUCAGUUAAUUUUUUGGAUUAUAUNCUCUCUCUCUCUCUCUCUCUCUCUCUCUUUCUCUGUCCCUUUAACUGCUGCAACUUGAUCAGUUAAUUUUUUGGAUUAUAUGAUACCAGAGUCAUUUCAAUCCUAUUAAUCUUUGUUAGCUCCGAAAGAUCAAGGGCCCAAUCCCUCAUAUCCACCAUUUAAUAGGUUUAGUUCCUCAUCAUUUGAUGGAUAUUAUUAUUCCUAAUUAACUUUUUAUUUUUUUAUUUUGUUAUAGAGAAAUACUAUUUAUAAGCUCAACUUAAUUCUAAAUGUAUUUAUAUAGUAUUAAAAAAAACUAGUGUGUGGAAGUUGGUUUCCUUAGAGGAAUAGGAUGUAAGAUUUACGCACAUAUUUUUGGCCAAUAUGCGGCAUUGCUCUUUUACGUAGUAUGUUCACAUGAUUUGUGUAAUAUAUGUUUGAACUCUUUUCUAUCUAAUUGAUCUCUCGAUUGAGAAAGCUCUCUAGGGGAACGCUCCUUAAUUUUGAAAACAUUUACUCAGAUCUCGCCAGAUAUAUAUAUGAUUUUGAUGAAAUUGCUCCUAGUCUCUUUUUUUUUUUUUCUUUUCUUUUCCUUUUCAAGUAAAUAGUUUCAUUUUACAAAUUCCAAUUUGGCAUGUCCUCUAUUCGGCUUUAAUUAACUUCCUGCUCAUUCUUGUGAAGGGGGCCCUAUAGAUCAGGAGAACAACAGUAGAACCCCUCUCUCUCUCAUCUCUCUUUUUCCUCUCUUUUUUCACUUUUGAACCCUUUUUUACCUGUCAAAAUUCAGGCCAAGGAGAAAGAGAAAGCUGAAUCGCUUCGUUUGUCUCUUGCAUGGCCCACUCAAAGAUCUCUAGAGCCCAAAACUAUGCCUCACCUUGGCAUUAAAAGGUUGGUUAUUUGCUAUUAUAUACAUAUUUUAAUUUUUUUUUUUAAUUUUUUUUUUGGUGGGUUAAGAUCUCCUCCUUUGUGGGACAUGACUUUGUGGCGCGUUUUGUGCUUUCAUUCUUAAAUGAUGAGGAAGAGGAAGAGCACCUCUGCACCGUCUAGUCAUGUCCAAACUUCCCUUAGCAAAAUUAUUAUGUAGACCAGGAUUUGAAAGGAAUAUAUACUUUAAAAUUUGUAGCAAGGCUCUCCCUUUCCACUAUGUGACGCCACACACACACACACACACACACACACACACACACACGCACAUUAACAUAUGCAUACCCCACAAGCAACCUGUUAUGUACCUUCUCCAAAGGAUAAAGAUACAUUAUUGAUAAAGCACAGCCAUUAAAUAAAAAAAAAAUUAAAGAAGGCACUAGCAACGUAAUCCUAGUUAGUUGAGCUUUAUUUAGUGCAUCAUUAGUUUAAUAUUGGUAUGAGAAUUUGAAGUACGGCAUAAUUGAGAUUAUUUAUCUAAAACCUAUAUUAGUCUCCUACCGAAUGAUUGUUGAUUCAAUAAAAUUUAAGAUCAGUUAGCAUCUGCUAACCUAACACUUUCUUUUUUGCUUGCUUUUAUUUUUUCUAUUGUAUAUAGUCUAGUUGGUCCUGGUUCAAGAACUAUUAUAGGAACUUCCUUAUAUUCUUGCUUUGUUUAGGUACGGAUAGGCUCACAACCAUUCGUAAUAAUAUAUAACAAAGUCUCCUAAUGAUAGGCAUCUUGUAGCACUUGUUUAUGCACCUUUGCUUCUCAAUCUAGUUAGUUUAAACUUUGUUGCAACAAUCAAUACAUGAUUUACUAACAUUCCAUUCUUCCUAUAUUCUAAUCUAUUCUUGCUAGAGAGAAUGUCAGUUAGAGUUUACUUCAUAUAUACUUUUCAUGUUGAGGAGAGCUACAACUCAACUAGAAUAGUUAGUUUUUUUUUUUUUCCCCAUCCUUUGGUAUUUUCUUAAUAUCUAACAACAGUUCGCUGAUUGCAAGAGUAUGCGUGCAAUUGUUACAUCCAUAUGAUUGGUUUAAUGAAGUCCCAGUUAUAAUAAUACUUUUGAGUAAAAUAUUUGUACCAGAUAAUUUUUUUUUUUUUUUUAUAUGCACCAAAUCUAUGGCUAGUUUCUGUUCCCACAUGAAGAUCAGACAACAAUGAUCUGACCCACCACCUAUCAUUGUGCUCCUUUUCCAACCUAUCAAAUCUCUUGCUUUGGGGUUAGGACCUCUGGCUAUUAAAUUGUUGCAGUAAAAUAUGCAUGUUUUAUUUAAUAAUGCCCUUUGUUGUUUUGUAUACGUGUUUGCGCAUGCACAUGAGUAUCUAUAGCUGAGAUAUAGGAGCUACCAUUAUAUAUAGGUUGUUUAUAGUAAUCCCGAAAUUUGUUAUUGUAAGGUAUCUAUCAUGACUUGGUGUACAUUCUUAUUUUUGAGGAAAUAACAUUUCUUAUAUAUAUAAGGAAUACUUUUCAUGUGGUGCUGAGCUUUGUACAUAAGAUGAACUUGAUGAACUUAAACAUUUCAACCUUAUGGCAGAUUUCGAAUGUUUUUAAGUUAACAUAAUCUCGAAUUUGAUAGCUUCUAUUGUAGUUAAUAUGAUGUCAAAAUAGAACUGAAUGAAUGUGAAGCUUCAGUAAAUUAAAUCCUACGCAAUGAGAGAGACUCUAGGUCGAUCCCUUACGCCGUAGGUAAUUUGAUUAGUGUUAACUUGUUAUGUUAAUUCUUGAUCUUCUUUUGAAUGUAUUUUUCUCUUUGAUUAAUCUUACAUGUUGCCAUAUAAUAUAUCAAUACAACCCAUGGUACCAACACCAAUCGAUAUCGGCAUAAUUUAGUGGUCUGCAGGAAAUGUACGUAAUCCUCUUUUAGGGUUAUCAUAUUAAUGCUAAAUGUACAUUAUAUUAUAAUUUAAUCGUUACUCGUGAAAAGAAAAUAAGCGGACCUGUGCUAUUUCUGGUGUUAGUGGAUGCACAUAUUGCUUGAGGAAUUGGUACCAACAUCUACAUAUUUUAUUUCUUCAAAAGAUGCGCCGCACGAAACUAUUUGAUAAUUAUGUGGAAAAUUAAACGCAUCAUUUCAACUGGGGUUACUUGAAUUUUUCUGCCUUGUGCAUGCAUGUGCAUCAUGUUGAUGCUAAAUUAAUACAGAUAAAUUGCCAGGUAAAUACAUAUAGUAGCUAGGUUGUUGCUCGUGCAAUCCUUGCUUGAAGGAUUAGUUAGUAUCUUGAUAUAUCUUUAGUGACUCUUAGAUAGGAGAUUUAGUUCGAGUGAUUACUAUAAUUCAUGGUGUAAAAAUAUUUCUUCUUUUGGUAAUCUCUACAAAUAAUUAAUCCUUUGUGUAUCUUGGAGUUCCUUUAUUGUCAUCCAGUGGCUGUCGAUUGAUCUCUGGUAAUCUAUAUGAGCCUGGUUUUAUAGUUGGAGUAUUAAUUUGAUGGUAAAAUUGGAUGGGUUAUUGCAUAUGGCAGGAUAAAGUUUAGCCCGUAAAUGUUCGUGAAAUUAAGCUUUUUUUUUCUUUUAAGAUUCUAACUCACAAGGUGUAACUUGAAGUUUAGGAUCUUGAUAUUAGCAAAAAUUGCAAUCAAGCAUGAUCCAUUUACUUGAUGGUAUGAGAAAGACAAUUUGAGUCUUUUUGAAGUAAGAGUCAUUUUACUAAAUAUUGAAGCUAACAAAGAAGCAAAUGAAGAUUAAUUUACUAUAUAUUGAUGUUACGAAAGGAAAAUUUGAAGCCUAAGAUGAGCUUAAAUAAUAUUUGUAGAAAUCAUGAUCCCAACUAACUAAUGAAAAAUGUAUGUCAAUCUCCUAUAUUAUUUUGGGCUUGUUUGUUUAUCCGAAACUAGACUUUGGAUUGAAGUAGACUUUGGGUUGAAGUGGAAUUCGGUAAAAAUUACUUCUUCCAUGCUAUUUGUUCCAUAGCUAUAGAAGUGAAGUUUCUUCAGAUCUACUGUUUGUUCGGCAGAAAAAUAAUAUAAUUGCAUUCCUGUAUAAUUUAAAAAAAUUAAUUUAAAAUAACUAAAUUAUUUUUUAUAUAUAAAAUUAUAAUAACACAACAAUAAAAUUAUAAAAUAGAAAAUAUAUAAAUACUUAACUAAUCAACUUUCAUCAUAUUUUAAAUGUACAAACUAAAUGAAGGAAAAUACUAAAGCUUAACUAAUAAGAUUUUAUCAUAUUUUAAAUAUGAAAAUUAAAUAAAGGAGUAAUUAGUGCCAUAAUUAAAUAUAUUUAGAUAUAACUAAUAUUACUCAUUGUAUUAUUUUAUUAUUUUUUUACCUCGCUUUACUGUAAUUAACUUCCUGGGCCGAAGUCAAUUAUGCUAUGACACCCCAAUAAUCCCAUAUCGGACAGUUAUGGUUAGAUGUGGGGAUAUAUAUAAGUUUUAUUAGGCUAGACAUAAUAACUGAACUUAACCAUUUUGGGCUGGUGGUUUUGGCCCAACAAGUUAUUUUUGCUAGCGGGUCAUCUCGGUUGAGUUAGAAUUAUACAGCGGGGAGAGCGAGCGGGUCAUCUUGGUUGAGUUAGGAUUAUACAACGGAGAGAGUGAGACUCUUAUGCUGUUGUGGGUGGAG
rnacentral:lncRNA from 1 species